UCCUGCCUAGCUCAGUUGGUAAAGCGCUCCACUGGGAAUGAAGAGGUCCCGGGUUCGAUACCCGGACCAGGCGGGUU
rnacentral:tRNA from 1 species